rnacentral:lncRNA from 1 species
GGUUAAUCCAGCCUCUGGUGGCUGUCUCAUUGACAGCUGCUAGAGGAGCUUCCGCGAUUCUCACUGUGAAAAUCACAGUGAGAAGACACUGAACGUCCAUAGGAAAGCAUUGAGUAAUGCUUCCCUAUGGGCGGUUUAAAUGCGCGCGCGCCUCUUGCCGCGCAUGUGCAUUCGGAGCUGAGAGGCGGACACUGGGGAGUCCGACGCUGGAGAAAGGUAAAUGCUGAAG